rnacentral:rRNA from 1 species
AGGUAGUGACAAGAAAUAACGAUACAGGGCUAAUGUCUUGUAAUUGGAAUGAUGGUGACCCAAACCCUCACCAGAGUAGCAAUUGGAGGGCAAGUCUGGUGCCAGCAGCCGCGGUAAUUCCAGCUCCAAUAGCGUAUAUUAAACUUGUUGCAGUUAAAAAGCUCGUAGUUGAAUUUUAGCGUGUUCGAGUUUGCCAUUCGUUUGGCUUUUUCGAGUUCGCUUUUGGGUUUUCCCUUUUUACUUUGAGAAAAUUAGAGUGUUUCAAGCAGACUUUUGUCUUGAAUACUUCAGCAUGGAAUAAUAGAGUAGGACUUUGGUUCUAUUUUGUUGGUUAUUGAACCUUAGUAAUGGUUAAUAGGAACG